AACGGGGAGAUUCAUUCAUCGCUCUUCCGUCGGAGUCCGCGUGUCGCGCGCCUCGGCGACUCCGGCGUUCGCCUCGGCGGGCGUCGGGAUCGUCGGGCGCGCGCCGCAGACAGGCUCCCGGAGGGCGUGCACUUCUCCCUCAGUAUAACACCGCGACCCGUUGGACGCGGGGUCGAACGCGUCGUGCGGCUGUCCCGCCUCGUCCCCUCAAAAAGGACGGGACGGAGCCGCGGCGUCGCGGCCCCCGUCCGACGGUAAAGAACGAGGAUCGCGUCCGCCCCCCGCUCGCGCGGGGGGCGUCCGUGGCGUCGCGGCGGCGUUCCCCGCGCAGACUUCGGCGCGAAAGCGUCGCGGGUUCUGCGCUCGGCAUCGCCGUUUUGCGGCGUCGUCUCGGACGGGACGCGUCCCGGUCGGCGGUGGUUUUGUUUCGGGCACUCACAGGACCC
rnacentral:rRNA from 1 species